rnacentral:rRNA from 1 species
GCGUGAGAAUCUGCCCUCAGGAGGGGGAUAACGGCUGGAAACGGCCGCUAAUACCCCAUAUGCCGAGAGGUGAAAUGAAAUUCGCCUGAGGAUGAGCUCGCGUCUGAUUAGCUAGUUGGUGGGGUAAAGGCCUACCAAGGCUUCGAUCAGUAGCUGGUCUGAGAGGAUGAUCAGCCACACUGGGACUGAGACACGGCCCAGACUCCUACGGGAGGCAGCAGUGGGGAAUUUUCCGCAAUGGGCGAAAGCCUGACGGAGCAACGCCGCGUGAGGGAUGAAGGCCUCUGGGCUGUAAACCUCUUUUAUCAAGAAAGAAGAUCUGACGGUACUUGAUGAAUAAGCCACGGCUAAUUCCGUGCCAGCAGCCGCGGUAAUACGGGAGUGGCAAGCGUUAUCCGGAAUUAUUGGGCGUAAAGCGUCCGCAGGCGGUCUUUUAAGUCUGUCGUCAAAGCGUGGAGCUUAGCUCCAUUACUGCGAUGGAAACUGGAAGACUAGAGUGUGNAGGG